CUACGUAGGGGGCGAGCGUUGUCCGGAAUGAUUGGGCGUAAAGGGCGCGUAGGCGGCCCGGUAAGUCUGGAGUGAAAGUCCUGUUUUUAAGAUGGGAAUUGCUUUGGAUACUGUCGGGCUUGAGUGCAGGAGAGGUAAGUGGAAUUCCCAGUGUAGCGGUGAAAUGCGUAGAGAUUGGGAGGAACACCGGUGGCGAAGGCGGGCUGCUGGGCAGUUUCGGACACUGAGGCGCGGAAGGGUGGGGGGCAAAAAGGGUUAGAUACCCUGGUGGUCCCCGCCGUAAACGAUGGGUACUAGGGGCCUGGGGGAGCGACCCUCUGGGUGCCGGCGCUAACGCAGGAAGUACCCCGCCUGGGGAGUACGACCGCAAGGUUGAAACUCAAAUGAAUUGACGG
rnacentral:rRNA from 1 species